UUAACGAAAAUGGAAAAAAGUUAAUUUGUACUGAUUGAGCAUAAUUUUUUCCGUAAAAAAAAAACAUCACCGAAACCAAGGAAAGGCUUGAUAAAUACUAUGGCGAGUUUGCACCUUCAAUAUAAAUGGUUAAACAUUGAUUUACUGAGCUCCGUUGUGGUGGUACCAGCUCAAGUGGCGCCGAACGUUAAGGUCGCCCAAAAGAGAUCUGGAUUUCACCGGGUGAACGUGCUCACAAGGUUUUGGCCACAGUUUGUUGGAAUGUACGCGGCGUCAUAUACAUCGAUAACCUUGAAAAGCAUAAAAGGGAUCACCAGCGAAUACUACUCAGAGCUUUUGCGCAGAAUCAAUAUUGACUUGAAGCAGAAACGACAGCAUUUGGCGAAGAAAAAACUACUGUUAGAUCAAGACAAUGCGCGGGUGCACAAGUGUGUAGUCACCAUGUAAAAAAUUCAUAAAUUGGGCUACGAACUGUUUCCCAACCUGAAAAAAAUGUCUGGAUGGUAAGAGAUUUGGAUCGAAUGAAGAGCUCAUCACUGAAACAAACACUUAAUUUGAGGGCCUUCAUAUUGACUGAUUCAAAAA